rnacentral:rRNA from 1 species
ACCCUAUUAUUUUUAAUAUAAAAUUUCAAGCCGGAGUAUUAAUAGUUAUGAUCUUAAAACUUAAAGAAUUUGGCGGUAUUAUAGGUCUUUUUAGAGGAAUCUGUUAAGUAAUCGAUAGUCCACGUUGAACCUUACUUAUAUAAAUUCUUGUAUACCACUGUUAAGGAUAUAUUAUAAGAUAAUAACCGUGAAAAAUUAAUAUUUAUAAUUUCAAGUCAAGGUGCAGUAAUAUAUAAGAUGAAUAAUGGAUUACAAAAAAUUGUAUUUAAAACGAAUAAAAAUUGAAAUAUGAAUUUGAAGGUGGAUUUAAUUGUAAAUUUUAAAAGAUUAUAAAAUUGAUUUAUGCUCUAUAAUAUGUACACAUC